CGGGGGGCGCGCGGCAUUACACAUGCAAGUCGAACGAUGAAGACCGUGCUUGCACGGUUGGAUUAGUGGCGAACGGGUGAGUAUCACGUGAGUAACCUUCCCUUAACUCUGGGAUAAGCCCGGGAAACUGGGUCUAAUACCGGAUACGACCAGUCCUCGCAUGGGGUGCUGGUGGAAAGAUUUAUCGGUUUUGGAUGGACUCGCGGCCUAUCAGCUUGUUGGUGAGGUAAAGGCUCACCAAGGCGAUGACGGGUAGCCGGCCUGAGAGGGUGACCGGCCACACUGGGACUGAGACACGGCCCAGACUCCUACGGGAGGCAGCAGUGGGGAAUAUUGCACAAUGGGCGAAAGCCUGAUGCAGCGACGCCGCGUGCGGGAUGACGGCCUUCGGGUUGUAAACCGCUUUCAGCAGGGAAGAAGCGCAAGUGACGGUACCUGCAGAAGAAGCGCCGGCUAACUACGUGCCAGCAGCCGCGGUAAUACGUAGGGCGCGAGCGUUAUCCGGAAUUAUUGGGCGUAAAGAGCUCGUAGGCGGUUUGUCACGUCUGCUGUGAAAGCCCGGGGCUCAACCCCGGGUGUGCAGUGGGUACGGGCAGACUAGAGUGCAGUAGGGGAGACUGGAAUUCCUGGUGUAGCGGUGAAAUGCGCAGAUAUCAGGAGGAACACCGAUGGCGAAGGCAGGUCUCUGGGCUGUUACUGACGCUGAGGAGCGAAAGCAUGGGGAGCGAACAGGAUUAGAUACCCUGGUAGUCCAUGCCGUAAACGUUGGGCACUAGGUGUGGGGGACAUUCCACGUUUUCCGCGCCGUAGCUAACGCAUUAAGUGCCCCGCCUGGGGAGUACGGCCGCAAGGCUAAAACUCAAAGGAAUUGACGGGGGCCCGCACAAGCGGCGGAGCAUGCGGAUUAAUUCGAUGCAACGCGAAGAACCUUACCAAGGCUUGACAUGGACCGGACCGCUGCAGAGAUGCAGUUUCCCUUCGGGGUCGGUUCACAGGUGGUGCAUGGUUGUCGUCAGCUCGUGUCGUGAGAUGUUGGGUUAAGUCCCGCAACGAGCGCAACCCCUAUCCUAUGUUGCCAGCACGUUAUGGUGGGGACUCAUGGGAGACUGCCGGGGUCAACUCGGAGGAAGGUGGGGACGACGUCAAAUCAUCAUGCCCCUUAUGUCUUGGGCUUCACGCAUGCUACAAUGGCCGGUACAAUGGGUUGCGAUACUGUGAGGUGGAGCUAAUCCCUAAAAGCCGGUCUCAGUUCGGAUCGAAGUCUGCAACUCGACUUCGUGAAGUUGGAGUCGCUAGUAAUCGCAGAUCAGCAACGCUGCGGUGAAUACGUUCCCGGGCCUUGUACACACCGCCCGUCAAGUCACGAAAGUGGGUAACACCCGAAGCCGGUUGGCCUAACCCUUGUGGGGGAGCCGUCGUUAGGUGAUCCCGGGC
rnacentral:rRNA from 1 species